CUGCAUUUUAUUGCACUUAUUACAUAAAUAUACAGUUGGCAAAACAAUUUACUACUAAAAUUCAGAUUCUCUCUCAGUAUAACGCAAAGUAUUACUCUGAACACCUACUUCAGGCAUCACUCAGUAAGUCAACCACUAAAAGCCUCUCUGCUCAGAUUUUCCUGGUGCAUCUUUUAUUUCUCUUCUCUUUCAUGUAGAAGUCUAUGAAUAAUGCCCACCUAAUGCAAAGGAGUUUCUCAUAUCUCUGACGCAGCAACAAUUUAUCACAUGCUUUCACAUAAAUGAGAAUGUUGAAAUAGUAUAAUUUUAGAGUUGAAUUAUUUGCUUUUGAAAAAAAUUUUUACUUUUUUCAAGUGAAAAAAUAUAUUUCGAAUAUAUCUCUUCAAAAACCUACUUUUCAACUUAUAUACAAGGAAAUUUUCUAACAGGUUCAACUUUUGUUAUACUUAAUACUCUGAUUUAUUUUAAAGUCUGAAGUGUUAGUUCCUUAGUUCUUUCUACUGUAAAUCCUCUGAUGUUUACAUAGUCUUAAUUUUAGCCUAAAUAUUUCUUCACAUUUACUGCACCUACAAAUUAUAUUCUAGUAAAAAUUCUCUGGUGUUUCUUUUCUUUUUAUCUUGUUUUGAGACAGAGUUUCACUCUUGUUACCCAGGCUGGAGUGCAAUGGCACGAUCUCAGCUCACCGCAACCUCCACCUCCUGGGUUCAAGCCAUUCUCCUGUCUCAGCCUCCUGAGUAGCUGGGAUUACAGCCAUGCACCACCAUGUCCUGCUAAUUUUUGUAUUUUUAGUACAGACGAGGUUUCUCCAUAUUGGUCAGGCUGUCCUUGAACUCCCGACCUCAGGUGAUCCACCCUCCUUGGCCUCCCAAAGUGUUGGGAUUACAGGCGUGAGCCACCGCGCCUGGCCUCUGGUUUCUUAACCUGCAGUUUCUGAACAGAGGUUUUUCCACAUUUAUUACAUUUGUAGGAUUUCUCUCCAAUAUAAAUUCUCUGAUGUUGAACAAAGUUUAAGCAACUGCUUCAGAGUUUUCCUCUAGUACAAAAUGCAUAUAGUAAGUUCUGGGAUACAAGUACAGGUACUAGAGCCCUCUUUAUCUUUGUAUUCUCUGUCUUAAGACUAUUCUUCACUUUAAUGGCCUAUAUUUUCUAAAAGGUCUUUCAACAGAAAUUACAUUUAUAAUGCUUUUAUUAACUAUAAAUUUCAAGUAGACAAUAGCUUUUGUAUAUUUUUAUGUUUGUACAAGUAGUCUCACAUAUAAAUACUAUCAUGUGCAAAAAUGCUAAGCAUUGGUUACAAGUUUUGCCACAUUUUUUGUAUUUCCAGGUGUUUUCUUCAGUAGGAAUUACAUUAAGAACUGACUAGAAUUGGAAGUCUUUGCCACAUUUUUAAUUUUAAUUUGGCUUCUCAUCAAUAUAAUUACUCUUAUGUCUACAACAGAUUGAGGUGUGAUUAAAAGCCUUCUCACAUUUUUCACAUUUUAGAGUUUCUCUUCAUUAUGAAUUAUCUUAUGAUUAGAAAGGAUUGAGGAGCAUUUAAAGACCGCGACAUUCGUCACCUUCGUAAGACAUUCCCCUGGUAUGAGUUCUCUUAUGUUUAAGAAUGCUGUAGUAUGACUUAAAGGCUUUGCCACAUUCUUUACACUUGUAUGGUUUUAUCUCCAGUAUGAAUUUUCUUAUGUGCAUAAAGAUUUGCAGACUGUCUAAAGGUUUUGCCACAGUCUCCACACGUGUAGGGUUUCUCUCCAGUAUGAAUUUUCUUAUGCGCAUAAAGAUUUGCAGACUGUCUAAAGGUUUUGCCACAUUCUCCACAUGUGUAGGGUUUCUCUCCAGUAUGAAUUCUCCUAUGUACAUAAAGGAUUGCUGACUGUCUAAAGGCUUUGCCACAUUCUUCACAUGUGUAGGGUUUCUCUCCAGUAUGAAUUCUCCUAUGUUUAGUAAGGGUUGUGGAACUAGUAAACGCUUUACCACAUUCUAAACAUUUAAAGGGUUUCUCACCUGUAUGAAUCCUCUUAUGUUUAGCAAAGCUUGAGGAUGACGUAAUGACUUUGCCACAUUCCUUACAUUUGUAGGGUUUCUUUCCAGUAUGAAUUUUCUCAUGUCUAUUCAGGUGUGAGGACUGUUUAAACACUUUCCCACAUUCUUUACAUUUGUAGAGUUUAUCUCCAGUAUGAAUUUUCUUAUAUUCGUUCAGGUUUGUGGACCAUCCAAAGGAUCUGCCACGAUCUUCACAUUUGUAGGGUUUCUCCCUAGUGUGAACUCUCCUAUGUGUAGUAAGGUUUCUUGACCUACUAAAGGCUUUGCCACACUCUUCACAUUUGUAAGGUUUUUCUCCAGUAUGAAUUUUCUUGUGUUGAUUCAGGGCUAUGGACCAUCCAAAGGCUUUGCCACACUCUUCACAUUUGUAACUUUGCUCUCCAGUAAGAAUUUUCGUGUGUUGAUUCAGGUCUGUUGAUGGGGCAAAGGCUUUGCCACACUCUUCACAUUUGUAAGGUUUCUCCCCAGUGUAAAUUUUCUUCUGUUGAUUCAGGUCCGUGUACCAUACAAAGUCUUUGCCACACUCUUCACAUUUGUAAAGUUUCUCUCCAGUAUGAAUUUUCUUGUGUUGAUUCAGGUCUGUGUACCGUCCAAAGGCUUUGCCACACUCUUCACAUUUGUAAGGUUUCUCUCCAGUAUGAAUUCUCCUAUGUACAUAAAGGUUUGCGGACUGUCUAAAGGUUUUGCCACAUUCUUCACAUGUGUAGGGUUUCUCUCCAGUAUGAAUUCUCCUAUGUACAUAAAGGAUUGCGGACUGUCUAAAGGCUUUGCCACAUACUUCACAUGUGUAGGGUUUCUCUCCAGUAUGAAUUCUCCUAUGUUUAGUAAGGGUUGUGGAACUAGUAAACGCUUUACCACAUUCUAAACAUUCAAAGGGUUUCUCGCCAGUAUGAAUCCUCUUAUGUUUAGCAAAGCUUGAGGAUGAGGUAAUGACUUUGCCACAUUGCUUACAUUUGUAGGGUUUCUUUCCAGUAUGAAUUUUCUCAUGUUUAUUCAGGUGCAAGGAAUGUAUAAAGGCUUUCCCACAUUCUUUACAUUUGUAGGGUUUCUCUCCAGUAUGAAUUUUCUCAUGUUUAUUCAGGUGUGAGGAAUGCAUAAAGGCUUUCCCACAUUCUUUACAUUUGUAGGGUUUAUCUCCAGUAUGAAUUUUCUUAUAUUCAUUCAGGUUUGUGGACCAUCCAAAGGCUCUGUCACGAUCUUCACCUGUGUAAGCUUUCUCUCUGUUGUGAAUUCUCUUAUGUGCAGUAAGGUUUGUUGACCUAUUAAAGGCUUUGCCACAUUCUUCACAUUUGUAAGGUUUCUCUCCAGUAUGAAUUUUCUUGUGUUGAUUCAGGUCUGUGUACCAUCCAAAGUCUUUGCCACGUUCUUCACAAGUGUAGGGUUUCUCUCCAGCAUGAAUUCCUUUAUGUUGAGUUAGGUCUGAGAACUUCUGAAAUGACUUGCCACAUUCGUUACAUUUAAAGUGUUUCUCUCCAGUAUGUCUUGUCUUAUCUUUGUUUGAAUUUGCAAAUUUACUAAAAACUUUGACACGUGCAUUACAUUGAAAUAUUUUGCUCUGAGUAUUUGACAAGCAUUUAUUAAUUCCAUUAUAAACUCCCUUCUGCACUUUACACACGUUCAUACUUUUACAGCCUUUCCUUAAUUGUAAAUUAUCAUGCCCACAUUUCUCAUAUCUUCUCAGUAUAAGUUUGUGGAAUGAAUCUUCUAUCCCCUGCACUGGCAAAAAGUCUUGGGUGAAAUGAGAACACAUA
rnacentral:lncRNA from 1 species